UACGUAGGGCGCGAGCGUUGUCCGGAAUUAUUGGGCGUAAAGAGCUCGUAGGCGGCCUGUUGCGUCCGCUGUGAAAUCCCGGGGCUUAACCCCGGGCGUGCAGUGGAUACGGGCUGGCUGGAGGCAGGCAGGGGAGAACGGAAUUCCCGGUGUAGCGGUGAAAUGCGCAGAUAUCGGGAGGAACACCGGUGGCGAAGGCGGUUCUCUGGGCCUGUACUGACGCUGAGGAGCGAAAGCGUGGGGAGCGAACAGG
rnacentral:rRNA from 1 species